rnacentral:sRNA from 1 species
ACGACAAUCGUCGCGAGAUAGGGAAGCGCAGUGAGAAACUGCGAGGGAAUGCCGAU